rnacentral:tRNA from 1 species
CUAAAAUAGUCUAAGAAAGAUAUAAAAUUUAGAAUUUUAAGAUGUUAUUCUUUUAGA